GUUGGUGAGGUAACGGCUCACCAAGGCGAUGAUGCGUAGCCGACCUGAGAGGGUAAUCGGCCACAUUGGGACUGAGACACGGCCCAGACUCCUACGGGAGGCAGCAGUAGGGAAUCUUCCACAAUGGACGCAAGUCUGAUGGAGCAACGCCGCGUGAGUGAAGAAGGGUUUCGGCUCGUAAAGCUCUGUUGUUAAAGAAGAACGUGGGUGAGAGUAACUGUUCACCCAGUGACGGUAUUUAACCAGAAAGCCACGGCUAACUACGUGCCAGCAGCCGCGGUAAUACGUAGGUGGCAAGCGUUAUCCGGAUUUAUUGGGCGUAAAGCGAGCGCAGGCGGUCUUUUAAGUCUAAUGUGAAAGCCUUCGGCUCAACCGAAGAAGUGCAUUGGAAACUGGGAGACUUGAGUGCAGAAGAGGACAGUGGAACUCCAUGUGUAGCGGUGAAAUGCGUAGAUAUAUGGAAGAACACCAGUGGCGAAGGCGGCUGUCUGGUCUGUAACUGACGCUGAGGCUCGAAAGCAUGGGUAGCGAACAGGAUUAGAUACCCUGGUAGUCCAUGCCGUAAACGAUGAUUACUAAGUGUUGGAGGGUUUCCGCCCUUCAGUGCUGCAGCUAACGCAUUAAGUAAUCCGCCUGGGGAGUACGACCGCAAGGUUGAAACUCAAAAGAAUUGACGGGGGCCCGCACAAGCGGUGGAGCAUGUGGUUUAAUUCGAAGCUACGCGAAGAACCUUACCAGGUCUUGACAUCUUCUGCCAACCUAAGAGAUUAGGCGUUCCCUUCGGGGACAGAAUGACAGGUGGUGCAUGGUUGUCGUCAGCUCGUGUCGUGAGAUGUUGGGUUAAGUCCCGCAACGAGCGCAACCCUUAUUACUAGUUGCCAGCAUUCAGUUGGGCACUCUAGUGAGACUGCCGGUGACAAACCGGAGGAAGGUGGGGACGACGUCAAAUCAUCAUGCCCCUUAUGACCUGGGCUACACACGUGCUACAAUGGAUGGUACAACGAGU
rnacentral:rRNA from 1 species